ACGUAGGGAGCGAGCGUUGUCCGGAUUUACUGGGUGUAAAGGGCGUGUAGGCGGAGCUGCAAGUCAGAAGUGAAAUCCCCGGGCUCAACCCGGGAACUGCUUUUGAAACUGCAGCCCUUGAGUAUCGGAGAGGCAGGCGGAAUUCCUAGUGUAGCGGUGAAAUGCGUAGAUAUUAGGAGGAACACCAGUGGCGAAGGCGGCCUGCUGGACGACAACUGACGCUGAGGCGCGAAAGCGUGGGGAGCAAACAGG
rnacentral:rRNA from 1 species